rnacentral:lncRNA from 1 species
GACAAGUCCAGCAAUUUUCUGUGAAGUGUUGACAGUGAGCAGACCUUUGUUUGCAGAGAAAAAAAUUCGAUCAUCAGUACAUUGCAGAGGCCUGGCACUCACAGUCCCCUAUUAGCAUUGUGCAUUACUGACCUCCACAGGCAUUUCAGGGGAAGGCACAGCAGGAAAAGAUGAAGAUUGCUCAACUGAAUGCCCUUAUAAACAUGCUGUUAGGGGAACUCACCCCUGGUGAUCAUCAGAACAUCAUGACAAUAUGCACAAUUGAUGUACAUGCGAGGGAUGUUGUAGCCACGCUUAUAGCACAGAAGGUAAUUUGUUGCAGAGCAAUUACACUA